AUGGCCUCUAUUUCAGUUCCUGUCUCCAGGUCCUGCCUGUCUUGUACUUGUCCUGAUUUUCCUCUGUGCAGGAAUGUGAGCUAUAAGAUGAAAGAAACCUUUCCCUCCUCAGGUUGUUUUUGGUCAUGGUCUUCAUCACAGCAUCAGAAAGCAAAGUAUCACAGGAGGCUCUGUUUGUCUGUUUUUAAUAAGGCUCAUGAACAGUGGACAGAGCCAUUUGGAAUGGGAGGAGUCUGCUCCUUCAGACCUGGCCAGAGAAGCAAAGGGCUCUGGUUCACCACAGGCCCAGACAUCUGUGGGGGGAGCUCUGGGCAGGAACUCAGGCUCUAUGGGAACCCUGAGAAAAUCAGACUGAAAUCCUGCCCAGGGAAAGCUGCAGUUGUCCAAGGAGAGCUCCAUUUCAAUGCAUGUGGUAAGUUUUUUGUUGUGCUUAUUCAGUCUGUAGCAGCUGCAGAGGGAGAGGCCUGUGACGGGGGCAAUGGGGCAGGGAGGGGACAUGGUAAAGGCUGGGUUACCACAAAAGGAUGAGCUUAGAAUGGGGAAAGGGGUCAGCUGAGGUGGCAGAUACUGAACAGAGAAAGUUGUAGGGAGGCAGGACUGUUUCAAGGUGGGGGCAACUGUAGCCUAUGGCUGGAGUGUGAGUCUGAUUGGAGUGGUACAUGAUAUAGACUUAGAGACAGGGCUAGAGGAGGGAGGGCAUGAGAAAGCAACUCUUUUUGCCAUUGAUGGAUUUUGUCUGUUCCUAAAACUCAGCAUGUGAAGUGUUUUCCUGUUCGAAAACUGAAGAUACAAAUUCUGGAAGGUCAUUUCCAAGGAUAAGAGAAGGGCACCUGAAUGAAUCAUCAAAAAAGCCCUGGGGUAGUGGGUGGAGUUCCUAACUUGAGCUGGAAAGGGGCUGGUGACUUAUGGGGCUCAGAGCCUGUCAAUCCUCUCCACACUGCCAAUGGACAGGGAACUAGAGAUGCCUCUCAAAGAAGACACUAGAACUCAGUGAGUUCUGUUGUUUGAGGGAAGGAGAGGAGGGUAAAGCAGGAAGAAACAGGGUGUCAGCUGAUGCCCUUUGAAGGAGGCUGACUGACUCAGAACCAGCAGAGGCCUUGUGAUUGUCUGACCCAGCCUCUAGUUUACACUCAAGGAACUGAAGCUCAAAGAUGGAAAGAAAUUAGUCCAAGGUCACAGCAUAUCAGC
rnacentral:lncRNA from 1 species